CGGGGCGUAGCGCAGAUGGUAGCGCGCGUGCUUCGGGAGCAUGAGGUCGCAAGUUCAAGUCUUGUCGCCCCGACCA
rnacentral:tRNA from 1 species